GCCCAGGUGGUGGAAUUGGUAGACACGCUGUGUUCAGGUCGCAGUGAGCUUACGCUCGUGAGAGUUCGAGUCUCUCCCUGGGCACCA
rnacentral:tRNA from 1 species